rnacentral:tRNA from 1 species
GCCGGCGCGGGCGCCGCCGCCGCCGCCGGCUACGGCCCGCUGCACGUCGGCACCGACAUCGGCGGUUCGGUCCGCCUGCCGGCC